AGAGUUUGAUCCUGGCUCAAGAUGAACGCUGGCGGCGUGCCUAACACAUGCAAGUCGAACGGAGCCUUAACCAUAGAAGCAGCCAGCUUGCUGGAAGCGGAAAAGGGAAAGGCUUAGUGGCGGACGGGUGAGUAACGCGUGGGUAACCUGCCCCAUACGGGGGGAUAACACUUAAAAAUAGGUGCUAAUACCGCAUAACAACAGAAAGCGCAUGCUUUUUGUUUGAAAACCAAGGUGGUAUGGGAUGGACCCGCGUCUGAUUAGCUGGUUGGCGGGGUAAAGGCCCACCAAGGCAACAAUCAGUAGCCGGCCUGAGAGGGUGGACGGCCACAUUGGGACUGAGACACGGCCCAAACUCCUACGGGAGGCAGCAGUGGGGAAUAUUGCACAAUGGGGGAAACCCUGAUGCACCGACGCCGCGUGAGUGAAAAAGUAAUUCGUUAUGUAAAGCUCUAUCAGCAGGGAAAAAAAUGACGGUACCUGAAUAAGAAGCCCCGGCUAACUACGUGCCAGCAGCCGCGGUAAUACGUAGGGGGCAAGCGUUAUCCAGAUUUACUGGGUGUAAAGGGAGCGUAGACGGCAGUGCAAGUCUGGAGUGAAGGGGCGGGGGCUCCCCCCCCGGACUGCUCUAGAAACUGUACGGCUGGGAGUGCAAGAGAGGUAAUUGCAAUUCCUAGUGUAGCGGGUGAAAUGCUUAUAUAUUAAGAAGGAACACCCAGCGGAGAAGGGCGGCUUUACUGGAAUUGUUAACUGACGUUGAGGCUUCAAAGGCGUGGGAG
rnacentral:rRNA from 1 species